ACACGUCAGCGACCUCAAUAAAGAAGAAAUUUGUUACAAGCGAACGCUUUUAAUAUCACCAGCCAUAUCAAAAUACAUUAGUUCAAGUAGCUAAUAUGGCGAGAACAGAGGAAUUCAUUAACGAGUUCAUAUGCUUCUUAUGUAAGACGCAGUAGAUGAUCGCCAAACUAUAACUGUCAACAAUUGAAAGUUACGAGAAUUUGCAGAUGUCAUAGAAAAAUCGAGAACAGCAAUUGAUGAUGCUGAUCUUCAAUGUCUGAUGAGCUUGAAGAAAAAAUAUGCACAAGUAUUUACGAAAUCUAUUCUCCGGUUCCAUUCCCCUCAAAACUACAAAUUCUUGUUGCAGAUAGUGUAUUUUUAAACCGAAAAAUUUGCAGAAGAUCAAGAGAGAAGGGCUUGCACACGAACCAGGUACAAACAGUAAGGAUGAUUUCAUUUGUGGAGAGUGUCGAAAGGGGGCGAAGAUAUCUCUAACAAUACAGUGCUUUCGCACUGAAAAGCAAGGCUUGAGAAUGUGAAAACACAUUUCAGUAACUGAUUGAGGAGCAACCACAUUAGUUUAAUAAGCUAUAGCACAAUCUUUACUCCUUCAUCUUUGAUGUCAAAAAAAUCAUUUUGGAAAAACUCGAAAGAGAAUCGGCGUGGUUCUUACCAGGUAUUCAAACUUGAUACGAACAAAGCUUUAUGUUGUAAAUACGCACCAUGUGCUAGGAAUUGCAUGAAACAUUUACUAUAUAUCGAAGAAACGGGUUUAUGUCCUGGACAGGUGGAUCAAAAAUUGGGUCAGAUUUCGUUAGGGACAAAAUUCUUGGAGGAUCUAUGGGAAAUCUUGGAGGAAAUUUUACCACUUGAGGAGAUAC